GGGACUGCCGGUGUCAAACCGGAGGAAGGUGGGGAUGACGUCAAGUCCUCAUGGCCUUUAUGUCUAGGGCUACACACGUACUACAAUGGCAGGUACAAAGGGCAGCGACACAGCGAUGUGAUGCGAAUCCCGAAAAGCCUGUCUCAGUCCGGAUCGGAGUCUGCAACUCGACUCCGUGAAGUUGGAAUCGCUAGUAAUCGUGGAUCAGCAUGCCACGGUGAAUACGUUCCCGGGCCUU
rnacentral:rRNA from 1 species